UCACAUGAUAUCACCCAUUUCCCCAUGUGCUACACUACUUGUUGCAUUCCAAUAUACCUGUGGCCUUCAGGCCGCAGGUAAUGAAGCUGCAAUAUUUGGCUGCCGAAGCUCAAAAAGUAGUCCCAAUUUUUUUCUGCUUCUUUUACUAUUACAAUCAUCUAUGCAAAUUAAAUCAGUAAAUACUUUAACAAAUCCCCCCUUGUACUGUACAUACAGAUAUUAUUAGCACUCUAAAUGUUCAAUUCAGAACUUAAGUAUACCAAAGGAAAUUGCCCAUGAAUAUUAAAAUUUGAAUGAACAGUAAACAGGAAGUUCUUUCUUGGAGGAAAACAAAAUGGAGAUAAACUUUGUUGCUAGAAAUUUUAAAAUGGCUAUUAGACAGACAUUAGGUAAGUCUCUUAUACUAAUUUAUUUCAAAAAGUAAUUUAAUUCAGAACACAACAAGAUUAGAAAAUACUAGAUGGAAACAGGAACUUUAUCAAUCACAGAGACAGUUUCACCUGAUUACAGGUAUUUUUUGUCAGGAAUUUACUAACAUUAUAGUGCCUUUAAACAGCAAUAUAUUUAUAUCUUUUAGAAACUUAAUGUUUGUUUUUUUCUUGUAGAAUUUUUAGGUAAUUAGUACUGUGAUGGCUAUAUAUCUAUGGCUUUACAAGACUGUCCAAACACUUAGUCACAAAAAUAUUUUUCAGAAGAAAUGUGUUUAUCUGAAGUAUGUCCUCAGAAACACAUAUGCAUGAAUCAUGAUCAGUGACCACACUGCAGAAUAGAUUGGGAUCACAGAGAGACAUCAUCAAACAGAUCACAUAUGUUUCAAUAUGAAAUUGUUGGAAAGAAGUUCCCGAACUUGACUCUAGUGCUUCUAAAGCUGCCUUAAGCCAACAAAACUCCAAAAAUGUUGUUUUUUUUAGCUCACAUGUCACAAAGUGACAAGGUGAGCUUUUGUGAUCGCGCGGUGUCCGUCGUCCGUCCGUGCGUCCGUAAACUUUUGCUUGUGACCACUCUAGAGGUCACAUUUUUCAUGGGAUCUUUAUGAAAGUUGUUCAGAAUGUUCA